GCUGCACUGGUUCAGGGCUUUGUCUUUAUUCACAACACAUUCAUGUGCCUCAGCAUGGGGGCAGCUGCACUGUUGCCUGCCAGCCUGUCCUCUUUGACUGCCGAAUGAACCAAAGGAUAACUCUCCAUUCGUGAGAGAGAGUGAGCUACAGAGGAAGAAAGACCACGCAAAAGGGAGGGGGAGAGAGGGGGGCGAAGAGGAUGUUCUCCGGCUCACUCCUACAUUAGGUCUCUGUGCAAAGGCAGAGGCUGUGGGAGCAGCAUCAAGCAAGACUUCGGGCAGUGAUUCUAACUAUUGCCUAUGAACACCGUGGCUGGGACGACUUUGACGAGGCAAUUUAUUACUUACGCAUAGAACACUGGCUGUGCUGAAACUGGGAGCGCAAACAGCCCCUUGUUUUCUAAUUUAGAGACUUGCAUCUUUUCGACACUCAACAGUAUCAAGACACUCUGCUACUACAGAAUCUUCUGGAGAGGAAAGAAGAAACCAUGUCUAGACAAGGUGCUGGAAAGACCCAGGGAAGACACAGGUGAGCUAAGAAAGCAGUAGAAACUGGGUAAUUAAAAGUCAACAUAAUGGCUGGAAACUUGUUCAAGGAGAUAUAAAAAGAAAGAAAAACCAAAAGAGAGACUGUAUGGAUGAACUUUGUCUAUUUACAAUUUUGUCUAAGGCCAAAUCUGCAGUCUGGUCCCACCGCAUGUUAUCUAAGUUGUUCAUAUACCAAUACUAAGAGCUACUGAAAUUCUUCCAAAAAAUCAAAAUCAUUUCCCCUUUGAUUUGCUAGUUUUCCCUCUUGGUAAAUAAAGAUUCAUUUUUUAGUAAUAACUGACCUGCCCUAAGGGUUCACCACUUUCUUCUGAUCUCAAAUCUUGUGCUAGGUCUUUAGGUUACAAUUCAUGAAACUAAAAAAUAAACAAAAAAAUUCUCUUAC
rnacentral:lncRNA from 1 species